CUUACAUUCAACAUAACACACAUAAUCUCUCUCAUCUGUAACCACUAUUCCGUCUUCUCUUCUCUCUCUGUUUCCAUAUUCACAUUCCCACUCUUUCCACACUUUCCCUUAUUCUCUCUCUCUCUGUCUCUUCCGUUUUCAUUCUCCUAUCUCUUUCCCCCUCAAACCCUAACACCUUCAUGAUCCUAUUUCUCCCUUUUAUCUAUGGAAGUGAUGCAGUACUGCAAAAAAUCUUGGUGCGAAAUCUGAAGGUUUUGGUCGAUUGCACCGACAAUGAAAGACACGACAACCACCAGAAAACGCUUCCAGAUCUGACCAACACAAAUCAAAGCUUUACUGGUUUGAUAAGAAUGGAAAUCAGUGGAAGGAGAGAGGGGCUGGUAAGCAUAAGAUUACCGAUAAAGUUAGGCUUCUCAUGAGGCAAUCCAAGACGCUCAAGAUUUGCGCAAAUCAUUUCCGUAUGUGUUUUCUGCAACUUUGUUUUGCGAUUUUGAUUUUAAGAUUUGAUUUUUCUAACUGAUUUUCUAUUGUUUUGUAGUCAUACUUACUAUGUUUAUGCAAAGAACGUGAUUUUGAUAGAGAUUUAGGAUGCAUUUCAAGGUUGAUGUUCUUUCAUUUGACAACUGAUCCUAUUACUUCAUUGGUUAACACCGCAUUCAUCGGCAAAUAGGUAUUUUAUCAUCGCAUCGACACAUAUGGUUACAUUUAGUAAUUUCAUUUUCCAAAUUAUUAUUAGUGUUGACGUGUUAAUUAGUGUAAUUAACUUAGAUUGUAUAUUUGAAUUUGCUAUAAUGGACUUACUGUUUGAAGAUUAUUCAUCCUUACACUUCACCUCCUGAUUAGUAACAUAUGAAUGUGUUCAUAACUCAGAUUCGGAUUUUAAAAGCUUUAAUUUAGUUAAGGAUGUUGAACAUAAGAUAAGGCAUAUUCCUUCAGCUUCGUCCGCAUUAUUUAUCGGAGGUAUCCUUGGAGUUGUCCAGGCAAUGUUACUUAUUUCUGCAGCAAAACCUUUAUUGAGCUUCAUGGGAGUAACUUCUCUAAGUACUUCUGUAAAAAUAUCAAGAGACUUACUUAUAGACCAAUAAGCGAUAGCGAUACAAAAUUUAUUUUUAAGUGAUUUGGCCUCGUAUUAGCAUUGGAUGAUUGCAAAUUAAAACGAAUUAUUUAUACAGGAUUCUCCUAUGCUACAUCCUGCACAACAAUACCUAAAAUUGAGGUCUCUUGGUGCUACUGCAGUUCUUCUUUCAUUAGCAAUGCAACGAGUUUUUCGAGGAUUUAAAAACACGAAAACUCCUUUCUAUGCCACUGAUGCACUGAAGCUGCUAGCAAUUUUGAGACGGUCUGUUCCCCGUGCUGCUGCGACCGUAGGAGCCUGGCUUAACAUAUUUUAGGUAUUUAUUUUUCAGGACUUUGGAAGGUUCUGUCAAUUAUUAGUUUAGAUGAUCCACUUUAUACUUAAUUCUCAUCUCACUGAUCAUUUGAGGAUAUCCUUGACUUUAGCAGUUUCUCAUAUUGAUGUUAAUUUGCACCAACUGUUCUCUUUUGGUAUGGCUAUAUGAUGAGGAAGGAAAAUGGAAAGUAGAACUUGGACUUGCAGCAAUUUUAAUCAUGGAACAUGUCCUUUUGUUGAUUUAGUUCGGUUUCUCUCGCUUGGUUCCCGAGGAACCUGCUUGGGUAAGAGCGAACUGAGCAAAACACACUACACAGGCACAAGAUUUAUGUUCUAAGAAGCUUUUAAGAACAAUCUCGGGAGGAGAAAGGAACUAUGGAGAGAUGAAGGUUAAGGGGCUUUAAUCACAGUGAAGCUUUUUCAGUUUUUUGAGUCUCACUUUUUUCACACUCCAGCAAGAGAUAAAGAAAGCUUAAGUUGGAUUUUUAUUUUUGUUUUCUCUAUUUCCUAUACCAGAAAUGUAUAUCAAAAUAUAGAUUUUGUAGUAAAUGUAAAUAUAGAAAUUAAUUAUAACUUGAAGAUUUUCAAAAUAUAGAAAGAACAAAACUAUCUAUAAGAAGAAAAUACAACUCAUUCUGCAGAAUUUGUAAUCAUUUCACACACACUAUAUAGUUUAUCUUUGAAUUUAAAUACGUGACUUGCCAUGAUAUCUUCCCAAACUGCCACUAACUUGAUUUCAUCUUUCAGCUUAUUUGAAUCCAUCUAUUUCAGCUUCUUUUCUGGCUCUUUAGAGAUUUCUUCACUGACAUAUAUAGCUCAUAUUUUGAUCAGGGCCGUCUUUGAGGGCGUGCAAGGCGGGCUACUGCACAGGGCCUCAAAUUUUUUACGAUUAAACUGUUACUAAAUAGGGCCUCAUAAAUCUUUGUCACUAUUAAAAUAGGGUUAAAUGGAGCCUCUAAUUAUUUUGUCAUGGUUAAAUCCUAACUAACCUACACAGGGCCUCUACAAAAUUGAGACGGCCCUGAUUUUGAUGGUUUCUUUGAUACUAUGAUUAAUUGUUUAAAUUUGUUUGUGAAAAUUAAUGUUGUACAAUGUUUGAAAUUAUGAUGUUUUGGUCAUGGUUUUAAAGGGUGCCGAAUUGGAAUUAUACAAGUACGAUAAUAGGUGAAUGCGUGUCAUAAUUUGCCUUCAUUGACUUUAGUUAGUUAUACUCCCUUAACAAGUUUAAUUUGAUUAAUACUUGAUCUUACUAUAUUAGUUAUACUCCCUCCAUAUUAAAAUAUAAACAAAAUUUAAUUAAACUAUACAAAAAGAUGUGUUAUUUAGAUACACCACAAUCUGUAGUAGAGAUGCCUUCUUUAAAAUAGACCUAU